rnacentral:lncRNA from 1 species
GGGGAGCGAACUUAGUAACUUCAGAGUGCGUCAGAAAUUCUGUUUUCUGGACAGAGGUGCGAACUUAGUAAUUUCAUGGGGCGCGUCAGAAAUUCUGUUUGUGUGAACUUAGUAAAUUUAAGUGACUGCGUCAGAAAUUCUGUUUUCUAGACAAGGGUGAGAAUUUAGUAAUUUCAGGAGGUGCGUCAGAAAUUCUGUUUUCUGGACAGGUGUGUGAACUUAGUAAAUUACAG